GCGCAAAUGGUUUAGUGGUAAAAUCCAUCGUUGCCAUCCGAUUAUCCAGUAUCAUCAGUUGAUUCGAUGGGCCCCCGGUUCGAUUCCGGGUUUGCGCA